GACGAACGCUGGCGGCGUGCUUAACACAUGCAAGUCGAGCGGUAAGGCCCUUCGGGGUACACGAGCGGCGAACGGGUGAGUAAUACAUCGGAACGUGUCCUUGAGUGGGGGAUAGCUCGGCGAAAGCCGGAUUAAUACCGCAUAAGCUCUGAGGAGGAAAGCGGGGGAUUCGCAAGGACCUCGCGCUGUUGGAGCGGCCGAUGUCGGAUUAGCUAGUUGGUGGGGUAAAGGCCCACCAAGGCGACGAUCCGUAGCUGGUCUGAGAGGAUGAUCAGCCACACUGGAACUGAGACACGGUCCAGACUCCUACGGGAGGCAGCAGUGGGGAAUUUUGGACAAUGGGGGCAACCCUGAUCCAGCCAUUCCGCGUGAGUGAAGAAGGCCUC
rnacentral:rRNA from 1 species